rnacentral:rRNA from 1 species
GUUCCCGGGCCUUGUACACACCGCCCGUCACACCAUGGGAGUGGGUUGCAAAAGAAGUAGGUAGCUUAACCUUCGGGAGGGCGCUUACCACUUUGUGAUUCAUGACUGGGGUGAAGUCGUAGCGAGGUAACCGUAGGGGAACCUGCGGUUGGAUCACCUCCUUA